rnacentral:rRNA from 1 species
AUACGUAGGGGGCGAGCGUUGUCCGGAAUGAUUGGGCGUAAAGGGCGCGUAGGCGGCCCGGUAAGUCUGGAGUGAAAGUCCUGUUUUUAAGAUGGGAAUUGCUUUGGAUACUGUCGGGCUUGAGUGCAGGAGAGGUAAGUGGAAUUCCCAGUGUAGCGGUGAAAUGCGUAGAGAUUGGGAGGAACACCAGUGGCGUAGGCGACUUACUGGACUGUAACUGACGCUGAGGCGCGAAAGUGUGGGGAGCAAACGGGAUUAGAUACCCCGGUAGUCCUGGCAGUAAACGAUGUAUGCUGGGUGUGGGAGUAGCGAUACCUCCGUGCCGAAGUUAACGCGAUAAGCAUACCGCCUGGGGAGUACGGUCGCAAGAUUGAAACUCAAAUGAAUUGACGGGG